GAAUGAUAUGGAAGAUGAGUAGUGAAUGACAAAUGGAAAAUAAAACACAGCUGAACUUCGCCUUAAGAGGCUGUUUCCUGCAUUUGCCACAGAGACAUCAGUGUUAGAAACCUGCUUCAAUGAGAUUUGUCUUAGAGAAUAUCCUUCCUUGAGCCAAGAAGUAACAUCUAUCAAGACAAGAGCGAGAGUAAAAUAAGAAAGGAAGAAGCAAAGCAGAGAAAUUGAGGAGAACAGAUUGCUGAAUCUAUUGGUUAAGUGAGUAAGAACUUGUGUGGAAAAUUGUCUGGCUUAUUUCAGACCAAAGACUUGAAUCAGAGUAUGAUUUGGGACUUUUUCCGGAUGAGCUUAUUGUAGUUUAUAUUACUUGUCCUCUCCAACUUUUUAUAAAUAGUGUAAUAUUCCCAUAAAAAGGAGGGUGGGAGGGAGAAGAAGUAAACUUCUGCUCUGUGUAUAGGAAGAUAUGCGAUAAGACCAUUCAUCCAGACAGCAGUAAAUUAGAUUAAUAUCUUAAUGGGGAACGUUCAUUUAAUGCUAUUAAACAUUUUGUAUUAUCUUAAUUAUUCAGUGCUGUAAUACAAUUUAAUUCUCCCCACUGGCCUUUACCUAGAUGGCCAGCACAUUCACCUGGUCUGUAGGUGUUCCAUAUUUGUAUCUCACUGAUGUUAUGUAGAGAGGAGAUACAAACCUAUGGUUCCCAAUUAUAUUCC
rnacentral:lncRNA from 1 species